AAAUUGAAGAGUUUGAUCAUGGCUCAGAUUGAACGCUGGCGGCAGGCCUAACACAUGCAAGUCGAACGGUAACAGGAAACAGCUUGCUGUUUAGCUGACGAGUGGCGGACGGGUGAGUAAUGUCUGGGAAACUGCCUGAUGGAGGGGGAUAACUACUGGAAACGGUAGCUAAUACCGCAUAA
rnacentral:rRNA from 1 species